AAGGACGCAACUUAAUGAUGUAAGAUUGUUAUGGGACUAUUUUUCAAUUACUAUUACCCUUCUUGAGGAGAAACCGUAAAAGAUCUGAGAUUUUGUCGCUAAAUUCUGUCAAAGGCCUGGAGUACUAAUUACAUGGAGAGUGCGCCUCUUUUCAGAAAGCAUCUUUUGUAUAUCUACAUAGCAUUGAAAACUGCCUGAUUUUGAUGAAAGUUUAUGGUUUGCCAAGAAGAAUACAUAUGUAUAUUCAUCACCUUGUCUCUUUAUUUCUUAAGGACUUCUAAACGGGGUAUAACCUGGGUCUCAUCUUCAUUUAAUAUUCUAGAUGAUGAUCGUAAAGAAGUUCAACCCUUGGAGUAUGCCCUUUAGUGACCAAGGACUGACUCACGAAAAAAUAUAAGAGCUCAUAUCGUUUUGUAGCGUAAUCUUUCAAGUCUCACAUGAAUUAAUAUAAUAUAGACUUUAAACAUUUCAUGAAUUACUUCUUGACCUAAGAGUGAUAUUGAAGGUUGAUUCACUCAAGGAAUGUUGGAUAAAGUCUUAACUAAAUAAUAAUUGUUUCCUCCAUUUAAGGAUUUGUGUAAUGUGUUUACUAUUUUUUUUUUAAAUAUUACCUUUUAUAAUUUUACAAAUCUAUUCCAUUAGAGAAUAAUUAUCACGUUACAUACAAAAAAAUUGUAGUUAUGUGUAUUUUAGAAUACUGACCCAAAACAUGUUUAAAUUAUUAUUAUAUUUUUUAUUCUACCAUAUUAACUUUAUGUAUUUAUUUCAUAUAUAAGUAACUGUAAGGAACUAAAUAAAUAUUCACUCCUAA
rnacentral:lncRNA from 1 species